rnacentral:rRNA from 1 species
CACGUAGGGUGCGAGCGUUGUCCGGAAUUAUUGGGCGUAAAGAGCUCGUAGGCGGUGUGUCGCGUCGGCCGUGAAAACCUGCAGCUUAACUGUGGGCGUGCGGUCGAUACGGGCAUCACUGGAGUUCGGCAGGGGAGACUGGAAUUCCUGGUGUAGCGGUGAAAUGCGCAGAUAUCAGGAGGAACACCGGUGGCGAAGGCGGGUCUCUGGGCCGAUACUGACGCUGAAGAGCGAAAGCGUGGGGAGCAAACAGG